rnacentral:rRNA from 1 species
UACGGGGGGUGCGAGCGUUGUCCGGAAUCACUGGGCGUAAAGGGCGCGUAGGUGGUUUGAUAAGGGUGUGGUGAAAGCCCGGGGCUCAACCCCGGGUCUGCCGUGCCGACUGUCAAACUCGAGGGCUGUAGAGGCAGACGGAAUUCCGGGUGUAGCGGUGGAAUGCGUAGAGAUCCGGAGGAAGACCGGUGGCGAAGGCGGUCUGCUGGGCAGUUUCUGACGCUGAGGCGCGACAGCGUGGGGAGCAAACAGG